GAUGGGUAGGGGAGCGUCGUGUGCCGGGUGAAGCAGCCGCGGAAGCGAGUUGUGGACGGUUCACGAGUGAGAAUGCAGGCAUGAGUAGCGAUACAAACGUGAGAAACGUUUGCGCCGAUUGACUAAGGGUUCCUGGGUCAAGCUGAUCUGCCCAGGGUAAGUCGGGACCUAAGGCGAGGCCGACAGGCGUAGUCGAUGGAUAACCGGUUGAUAUUCCGGUACCCGCUGUGAAGCGUCAAACAUCGAGCAUCGUGAUGCUAAGGCCGUGAAGCCGUUCCGGACCCUUCGGGGAAAGGAAAGUGGUGGAGCCGCCGGCCCAAGCGGUUAGUAGGUGAGUGAUGGGGUGACGCAGGAAGGUAGUCCAGCCCAGGCGGUGGUUGUCCUGGGGUAAGGGUGUAGGACGCAAGGUAGGCAAAUCCGCCUUGCACAUAGUCUGAGACCUGAUGCCGAGCCGAUUGUGGUGAAGUGGAUGAUCCUAUGCUGUCGAGAAAAGCCUCUAGCGAGUUUCAUGGCGGCCCGUACCCUAAACCGACUCAGGUGGUCAGGUAGAGAAUACCGAGGCGUUCGGGUGAACUAUGGUUAAGGAACUCGGCAAAAUGCCCCCGUAACUUCGGGAGAAGGGGGGCCAUCACCGGUGAUGACAUUUACUGUCUGAGCUGGGGGUGGCCGCAGAGACCAGCGAGAAGCGACUGUUUACUAAAAACACAGGUCCGUGCGAAGCCGUAAGGCGAUGUAUACGGACUGACGCCUGCCCGGUGCUGGAACGUUAAGGGGACCGGUUAGUCACUCUUCGGGGUGGCGAAGCUGAGAACUUAAGCGCCAGUAAACGGCGGUGGUAACUAUAACCAUCCUAAGGUAGCGAAAUUCCUUGUCGGGUAAGUUCCGACCUGCACGAAUGGCGUAACGACUUCUCGACUGUCUCAACCAUAGGCCCGGUGAAAUUGCACUACGAGUAAAGAUGCUCGUUUCGCGCAGCAGGACGGAAAGACCCCGGGACCUUUACUACAGUUUGAUAUUGGUGUUCGGUUCGGCUUGUGUAGGAUAGCUGGGAGACUUUGAAGCAUGCACGCCAGUGUGUGUGGAGUCGUCGUUGAAAUACCAGUCUGGUCGUGCUGGAUGUCUAACCUGGGUCCGUGAUCCGGAUCAGGGACAGUGUCUGAUGGGUAGUUUAACUGGGGCGGUUGCCUCCUAAAGAGUAACGGAGGCGCCCAAAGGUUCCCUCAGCCUGGUUGGCAAUCAGGUGUUGAGUGUAAGUGCACAAGGGAGCUUGACUGUGAGACCGACGGGUCGAGCAGGGACGAAAGUCGGGACUAGUGAUCCGGCGGUGGCUUGUGGAAGCGCCGUCGCUCAACGGAUAAAAGGUACCCCGGGGAUAACAGGCUGAUCUUCCCCAAGAGUCCAUAUCGACGGGAUGGUUUGGCACCUCGAUGUCGGCUCGUCGCAUCCUGGGGCUGGAGUCGGUCCCAAGGGUUGGGCUGUUCGCCCAUUAAAGCGGUACGCGAGCUGGGUUUAGAACGUCGUGAGACAGUUCGGUCCCUAUCCGCUGUGCGCGUAGGAAUAUUGAGAAGGGCUGUCCCUAGUACGAGAGGACCGGGACGGACGAACCUCUGGUGUGCCAGUUGUCCUGCCAAGGGCAUGGCUGGUUGGCUACGUUCGGGAGGGAUAACCGCUGAAAGCAUCUAAGCGGGAAGCCUGCUUCGAGAUGAGUAUUCCCACCUCCUUGAGAGGGUAAGGCUCCCAGUAGACGACUGGGUUGAUAGGCCAGAUAUGGAAGCCUGGUAACGGGUGGAGUUGACUGGUACUAAUAGGCCGAGGGCUUGUCCUC
rnacentral:rRNA from 1 species